rnacentral:rRNA from 1 species
UGGGGAAUCUUGGACAAUGGGCGCAAGCCUGAUCCAGCCAUGCCGCGUGAGUGAUGAAGGCCUUAGGGUUGUAAAGCUCUUUUUACCAGGGAUGAUAAUGACGGUACUAUUUAUAAGGUCCGGCUAACUACGUGCCAGCAGCCGCGGUAAUACGUAGGGACCAAGCGUUGUUCGGAUUUACUGGGCGUAAAGGGCGCGUAGGCGGCAAUUCAAGUCAUCUGUGAAAUCUCCGGGCUUAACUCGGAACGGUCAGAUGAUACUGCUUUGCUAGAGUGCAGAAGGGGCAAUCGGAAUUCUUGGUGUAGCGGCGAAAUGCGUAGAUAUCAAGAGGAACACCUGAGGUGAAGACGGGUUGCUGGGCUGACACUGACGCUGAGGCGCGAAAGCCAGGGGAGCAAACAGGAUUAGAUACCCGAGUAGUCCCUGAGCGGGCUGGCAAGGCGCAU